rnacentral:rRNA from 1 species
ACGUAGGGGGCUAGCGUUAUCCGGAAUUACUGGGCGUAAAGGGUGCGUAGGUGGUUUCUUAAGUCAGAGGUGAAAGGCUACGGCUCAACCGUAGUAAGCCUUUGAAACUGGGAAACUUGAGUGCAGGAGAGGAGAGUGGAAUUCCUAGUGUAGCGGUGAAAUGCGUAGAUAUUAGGAGGAAUACCAGUUGCGAAGGCGGCUCUCUGGACUGUAACUGACACUGAGGCACGAAAGCGUGGGGAGCAAACAGGAUUAGAUACCCUGGUAGUCCACGCCGUAAACGAUGAGUACUAGCUGUCGGAGGUUACCCCCUUCGGUGGCGCAGCUAACGCAUUAAGUACUCCGCCUGGGAAGUACGCUCGCAAGAGUG